rnacentral:misc_RNA from 1 species
AAAAAUGUUUGGUCUCGUGCCAAAUCAACACCUGUGUGCACUAUUGUCUGUAUUUGGUAGUCUAGGAGGGGCGACCCGCAAGGGCCUGCCCAUAUACUCCGUGACCCAGUCAACUUUUAGUUGGUUGGUGUCGGGCUACCGCCAUUUUGAAAAACCUUUUGUUUGUUUUGUUUUUGUCCGAACGAAGAGUUAAUCUUCAUUGAUUAAUGAUUUGAAUA